UACAGAGGGGGCAAGCGUUGUUCGGAAUUACUGGGCGUAAAGGGCGCGUAGGCGGCCUGCUAAGUCGAACGUGAAAUCCCUGGGCUCAACCCAGGAACUGCGUCCGAUACUGGUUGGCUUGAAUCCGGGAGAGGGACUGGAAUUCCAGGUGUAGCGGUGAAAUGCGUAGAUAUCUGGAGGAACACCUGAGGUGAAGACGGGUUGCUGGGCUGAUACUGACGCUGAGGCGCGAAAGCUAGGGUAGCAAACGGG
rnacentral:rRNA from 1 species